rnacentral:rRNA from 1 species
GACGAACGCUGGCGGCGUGCUUAACACAUGCAAGUCGAGCGGAGCGGCGAACGGGUGAGUAACGCGGGAGUAACUGACCCCCUCUCUGGGAUAACAGUUGGAAAGGGCUGCUAAUACCGGAUAGUGGGGGCUGAGGCGCGUCCUAUCAGCUGGUUGGUGUGGGAGUGGCCUAGCAAGGUGAAGACGGGUAGCCGGACUGAGCGGGAGACCGGACCCAGUGGGUAGAGAUAGCACCACAAGGCCUACGGUGGGCAGCAGUGGGGGUUAGUGCACACUGGGGGAAACCCUGAUGCAGGAAUCCGGGUGCGGGAGGACGGCCGUCGGGUUGUAAACCGGUUUCAGCCAAGACUCGGUAGUGGCAUAAGAAGCACCGGCUAACGACGUGCAAGCAGCCGCGGUAAUAC